GUGAUUGCCAUAGUGAUAGAGAAACUAGAUUCUCGUCCUAGAAUGUUGACAGAUAACGUAGCCUGUUAGAGCCAGAAGUCAGGACUGCAGCUAUUUCAGCAAACACCAUUCUCUUCCCUUGAGUAUAUACUUGGAUUUGUAAGCAUCAAUUUGAGGUUAUCCUAAGAUCUUCACAAAGGGAGAUUUUCAGCUGAACUUCAAAGUGUGCUGAGAGCUGUCCCUGCUUGCCACACCAAAGCCACCAAAGUCUCAUAAGUCCUGCUGUCUUUUCUCCGUUAGCAACCAGAAGCUAACCUGAGAAUAUUUAGUUGUCCUGCUGCAUGCUUCUGCUUAUAUGUCCUCCUUCUUUCCACAUCAAAAAGUAAGUGGAGAGCCAACUCAGCCCAGCAGGGGAGAUAUCCAGGCUCAGACUGUUUGAUCUCUUCUCACGUGGACGUUGUUUCAGAACCUGACAUCCUCUAAAGACACUUAUCCUCACAGCCUACUGUUAAGGUAGAGCACUACUGUUAUUUAUCACAGCCUUCUUAGUGGCAGGAAGCUGAAGAAAAAAGCCAAGACAGGCACGAUAUUUGUAAUCCUAGAUUCCUAUAUACCUACAAAAUUCAGUAAUUUGCUCAGAUUAUACAGAAAGUCUGGAGGAAACAGAAAUCUGAACAAUGAUGCCCUGGGUGUCAGAAGAUUGCCUACCCAUCCAAACAAUUCAAUGCCACUGAAAAGAAAUUUCAGUGAAUUCAAAGAAAAACUUCGGUCUCUUGCUCGAAUUUCUGCACCGUUUUGGAACAGAUCUCACCAUUAACUAGUUAUUCAUUAGUGUUUUUCUCAUAAGAAAACUUCAGCAUCUACCUAAGAUGAAAUCAUUCCCCAGAACAGUGUGAAACAAUGCACAUAUCUGUAUCUAAAAUGAUCAAACAUAUCCCCAAAUCACAUCCAAGAUCACAGUUUUACUUUCCUAUUUUCUUCAUCCUGCUUAAAGACUUCUGCUUUAUACCCACCUUGCAACAACUGAAAAUAUAGGUUCCUAAAUACUGCAUAACAAAAAUUUUCAAAGGACCUUUCAA